GGAUGAACGCUAGCUACAGGCUUAACACAUGCAAGUCGAGGGGCAGCAUUUUAGUUUGCUUGCAAACUAAAGAUGGCGACCGGCGCACGGGUGAGUAACACGUAUCCAACCUGCCGAUAACUCGGGGAUAGCCUUUCGAAAGAAAGAUUAAUAUCCGAUGGUAUAUUAAAACCGCAUGGUUUUACUAUUAAAGAAUUUCGGUUAUCGAUGGGGAUGCGUUCCAUUAGUUUGUUGGCGGGGUAACGGCCCACCAAGACUACGAUGGAUAGGGGUUCUGAGAGGAAGGUCCCCCACAUUGGAACUGAGACACGGUCCAAACUCCUACGGGAGGCAGCAGUGAGGAAUAUUGGUCAAUGGACGAGAGUCUGAACCAGCCAAGUAGCGUGAAGGAUGACUGCCCUAUGGGUUGUAAACUUCUUUUAUAUGGGAAUAAAGUAUUCCACGUAUGGGAUUUUGUAUGUACCAUAUGAAUAAGGAUCGGCUAACUCCGUGCCAGCAGCCGCGGUAAUACGGAGGAUCCGAGCGUUAUCCGGAUUUAUUGGGUUUAAAGGGAGCGUAGGUGGAUUGUUAAGUCAGUUGUGAAAGUUUGCGGCUCAACCGUAAAAUUGCAGUUGAAACUGGCAGUCUUGAGUACAGUAGAGGUGGGCGGAAUUCGUGGUGUAGCGGUGAAAUGCUUAGAUAUCACGAAGAACUCCGAUUGCGAAGGCAGCUCACUAGACUGCAACUGACACUGAUGCUCGAAAGUGUGGGUAUCAAACAGGAUUAGAUACCCUGGUAGUCCACACAGUAAACGAUGAAUACUCGCUGUUUGCGAUAUACAGUAAGCGGCCAAGCGAAAGCAUUAAGUAUUCCACCUGGGGAGUACGCCGGCAACGGUGAAACUCAAAGGAAUUGACGGGGGCCCGCACAAGCGGAGGAACAUGUGGUUUAAUUCGAUGAUACGCGAGGAACCUUACCCGGGCUUAAAUUGCAUUUGAAUAAUCUGGAAACAGGUUAGCCGCAAGGCAAAUGUGAAGGUGCUGCAUGGUUGUCGUCAGCUCGUGCCGUGAGGUGUCGGCUUAAGUGCCAUAACGAGCGCAACCCUUAUCUUUAGUUACUAACAGGUCAUGCUGAGGACUCUAGAGAGACUGCCGUCGUAAGAUGUGAGGAAGGUGGGGAUGACGUCAAAUCAGCACGGCCCUUACGUCCGGGGCUACACACGUGUUACAAUGGGGGGUACAGAAGGCAGCUACCUGGCGACAGGAUGCUAAUCCCAAAAACCUCUCUCAGUUCGGAUCGAAGUCUGCAACCCGACUUCGUGAAGCUGGAUUCGCUAGUAAUCGCGCAUCAGCCAUGGCGCGGUGAAUACGUUCCCGGGCCUUGUACACACCGCCCGUCAAGCCAUGAAAGCCGGGGGUACCUGAAGUACGUAACCGCAAGGAGCGUCCUAGGGUAAAAC
rnacentral:rRNA from 1 species